UAGGCUUUAGUUUAGUUAAAAUGUCUGGGUUGCAUUCAGAUGAUAUAGGGGAGCCUAUAAGUCUUA
rnacentral:tRNA from 1 species